rnacentral:rRNA from 1 species
GAUGAACGCUAGCUACAGGCUUAACACAUGCAAGUCGAGGGGCAGCAUGACCUAGCAAUAGGUUGAUGGCGACCGGCGCACGGGUGAGUAACACGUAUCCAACCUGCCGAUUAUUCCGGGAUAGCCUUUCGAAAGAAAGAUUAAUACUGGAUAGCAUAACGAGAAGGCAUCUUCUUGUUAUUAAAGAAUUUCGAUAAUCGAUGGGGAUGCGUUCCAUUAGUUUGUUGGCGGGGUAACGGCCCACCAAGACAUCGAUGGAUAGGGGUUCUGAGAGGAAGGUCCCCCACAUUGGAACUGAGACACGGUCCAAACUCCUACGGGAGGCAGCAGUGAGGAAUAUUGGUCAAUGGACGAGAGUCUGAACCAGCCAAGUAGCGUGAAGGAUGACUGCCCUAUGGGUUGUAAACUUCUUUUAUAUGGGAAUAAGUGGGCCACGUGUGGCUUUUUGUAUGUACCAUACGAAUAAGGAUCGGCUAACUCCGUG